rnacentral:rRNA from 1 species
AUGGUGAUCCGUGCCUCGCUUUAUGCGGAUGAUGCUGCCGUGUUCCUUGCGCCCAUUAAAGUUGACAUCGAUUUUUUCACGGACUCCCUUGCGUGGUUUGGAGAGGUCACCGGUUUGACCACGAACUGCUCUAAAAGUUUGGUUGCUCCGAUUCGGUGUGGAAACUUAGACUUUGGUGAUAUCCUGCAUUCCUUUCCGGCCAGCUGCUCAUCAUUCCCCAUGAAAUACCUUGGUUUGCCUCUAUCGGUUAAAGGUCUGAAGCGCAUCCACUUCCAGCCGCUUGAAGAUAAGAUCGCUACCCAGCUCACCCCUUGGCUUGGCAAACUAAUGGCUGCUCCGGGCAGAGAGGUACUG